rnacentral:rRNA from 1 species
UACAGAGGGGGCAAGCGUUGUUCGGAAUUACUGGGCGUAAAGGGCGCGUAGGCGGCCUUCUAAGUCGAAACGUGAAAUCCCUGGGCUCAACCCAGGAACUGCGUCCGAUACUGGAAGGCUUGAAUCCGGGAGAGGGAUGCGGAAUUCCAGGUGUAGCGGUGAAAUGCGUAGAUAUCUGGAGGAACACCGGUGGCGAAGGCGGCAUCCUGGACCGGUAUUGACGCUGAGGCGCGAAAGCCAGGGGAACAAACGGGG